rnacentral:rRNA from 1 species
AAAAGAGGAAAGUCGUAACAUGGUAAGCCUACCGGAAGGUGGUCUUGGGACAGAAUAUAGCUUAACCAAAGCAUUUUGCUUACACCAAAAAAAUAUCACUUAGAUUAUUCUGACACUGUAAAUUUAGCCUUCUUCAACCUAUACACACACAUCCAAAACCAUUUAAACACAUUAGUAUGAGUGACAAAAAACUUUUAAGCGCAAUAAAUAAAGUACUGCAAAGGAAAUAUGAAAUAGAAAUUAAAUAAACACAAAAGUACAAUAAAGCAAAGAUUAAUUCUUAUACCUUUUGCAUAAUGGUCUAGCAAGUUUAACUUAACAUAAAUAUUUUUGUUGAAUUCCCCGAAACCAAACGAGCUACCUUAGAGCAAAUCACAAAUCCUUCUCUGUAGCAAAAGAGAGUGAAAGACUUAAAGGUAGAGGUGAAAAACCAAACGAGCUUGGAGAUAUCUGGUUACUUGGGAAUGAAUCAAGUUCAACUAAAAGUAAAUUUACCAACAAGGAUACACAUACACUUUUAAUAUAAUAAAUUAGGGUACAGCCUAUUUUAUAAAGGGAACAGCCUAUAUACAUGAAUUAAGAUAUAUUAUACUAUAUAACUAAGUAGGCCUAAAAGCAGCCACCAAAAUAGCGUCACAGCUUAAUUAUACACCACAAAUAUUUAAAUAGAAUAUCUAAAUUCAACAGAACAACCAAGUUAAUCUACUUAUAGAUGAACCACUACUAGAAUAAGUAAUAAGGAAUACCUCUAAAUACAUGUGUAAAUCAGAAUGGACCCCCCCCCGAUAAUUAACGAAAACAUUUACCUAAACAAGAAAUUAAAUCCUACAUACCGUUAAUCCAACACAGGAGUAUAAAAGAAAGACUUAAAGCUUAAGAAGGAACUCGGCAAACCCUGGCUUCGCCUGUUUACCAAAAACAUCGCCUUUCGAUAAAUAAACAUGAAAGGUCCUGCCUGCCCAGUGACAUUUUUAACGGCCGCGGUAUUAUGACCGUGCAAAGGUAGCAUAAUCACUUGUCUUCUAAAUUAAGACCGGAAUGAAUGGCAAGACGAAAGCCCAACUGUCUCCUUAAGCUAGUCAAUGAAAUUGAUCUUUUCGUGCAGAAGCGAAAGUAUUAAUAUAAGACGAGAAGACCCUGUGGAGCUUAAAAAAAAGGCUAUACACUUUAAUAGCACUUAUUUAGGUUGGGGCGACCAUGAGGUAAAACAUAACCCUCAAGACAACAACUAGAAGAACACUUCAAAUAAAACAAAAAUUAUAUAUGACCCAAUAAUGAUCAACGAACCAAGUUACCCCAGGGAUAACAGCGCAAUCCAUUUUUAGAGCCCUUAUCGACAAAUGGGUUUACGACCUCGAUGUUGGAUCAGGACCCCUAAUGGUGCAACAACUAUUAAAGGCUCG